GACGAACCGAGCGAACGUUAUUCGGAAUCAUUGGGCGUAAAGCGCGCGUAGGCGGCCAGAUAAGUCCGGUGUGAAAGUCACAGGCUCAACCUGUGAAUGCCGCUGGAAACUGUCUGGCUAGAGUCCGGAAGGGGCGAGUGGAAUUCCUGGUGUAGCGGUGAAAUGCGUAGAGAUGGGGGAGAACACUCGUGGCGAAGGCGGCCAGCUGGACCAGUUCUGACGCUGAGACGCGAAAGCGUGGGGAGCAAACAGG
rnacentral:rRNA from 1 species